ensembl:lncRNA
GUUCCUUUUUUGGAUGACAGCAAUGUAUAAUGUAAAAUUAUCAGUUUCAUUGUCAUAAUCACUGUAAUACCAAAGGUAUUUACGUGAAAACAAUAAUUACAAUGAUCAUUUUAUGUGAAAGUAGUCAUGGAUAAAAAAAAAAUUAAAAAAAAAAAUGCUUAAAGUGAUUAAAAAAUAAUCACAAGUGGAUUGGCAAAAAGCUUUUUAAAAUGGGAUCCAAGGAAGGGCAGAGCUUCGUGAUAACCUCCAGCUCUGGUAUUACCCACCACAGCCAGCACUUAUCUACAAUCAGGCUCCAGCUCCAGACCAUUGGGUUCUCUGUCCCAAUCCUGCCUGCGGACAACAUCAGCAGACAGGAGGUGGUCUGCACAAAAGGGCACGGCCGGUUCUAGACAUUGACCGAACGUACAACAUGGUCACAGAAACUCUCAUCUGUACCAAGUGUAGAGCCUUGCAUGUGUCCUGGAGUCAGACUGUCCUGCAACAGCUAGAUCUGGGCCAUCGCUCUGAGUUUCAGGUCAUCCUCACGCGGAAGUAUGCCUGUGAUAUGCGGGUCAUCCGGCUCUUGCGUGAGCGUGGCUUAGGCAACAGCCCCACGCGGGUGAUCAAGCAGCUGCGUGAAAACCACAGUGAGCGGUGGCUCCAUCGUCUGGCCCGGUACACCACCCAAUGUGUUGACUUCCUCAAUCAACCCGGGGUGAUACCAGUAAAAUUCCAGGAGCCCCCAGAGCCUUCAGUGGUGCCAAGCUGCAAGUGGUUGCUGACCGUGUACAGCCAAGACAUCCUGACAAGGCUAGAUGAAAUCCAUGUUGUGGAUUUGUUUAUUAAUGGUGUUGUUUAUAUACCAGCAUCGCACUGUAUCUGUAUUUUACAUGGUGUGAUGUUUGAUUUAUAUUUACAGCAUGCUUCAUAUCAUAUCUUGUUACAGAUCACCAAGAAGCUGGCUGGGACAGCGAGGGGAACGGGACUCUGGCUUACCUCUGUUGGCAACAAGUUUGGUCAGGUGCUCAUAAGUGUGUCUAAGAUCUCAUAA